rnacentral:rRNA from 1 species
AAAGUGGUACGCGAGCUGGGUUUAGAACGUCGUGAGACAGUUCGGUCCCUAUCUGCCGUGGGCGCUGGAGAACUGAGGGGGGCUGCUCCUAGUACGAGAGGACCGGAGUGGACGCAUCACUGGUGUUCGGGUUGUCAUGCCAAUGGCACUGCCCGGUAGCUAAAUGCGGAAGAGAUAAGUGCUGAAAGCAUCUAAGCACGAAACUUGCCCCGAGAUGAGUUCUCCCUGAGACUUUAGGUCUCCUGAAGGAACGUUGAAGACGACGACGUUGAUAGGCCGGGUGUGUAAGCGCAGCGAUGCGUUGAGCUAACCGGUACUAAUGAACCGUGAGGCUUAACCUU